rnacentral:sRNA from 1 species
GCUGGGUGUGAUGGUGCAUGCCUGUAAUCCCAGCCACUCAGGAGGCUGAGGCAGGAGGAUGGCAAGUUUCCGGCCACUU